AACAAUAUACAUCAACCAUUGAAACUUUAAACAUCCAUUUGGAAUAUUUACAUACGCUUACAUUCAAAUGUGUUGCUCAGCUGUGUUUUUAUAGGUCCCAUGGAAUGAAAAG